rnacentral:lncRNA from 1 species
CAGGGUUUCUUCAUGUUGGCCAGGUUGGUCUCUAACUCUUGACCUCAAGUGAUCCACCUGCUUGGCCUCUCAAAGUGCUAGGAUUACAGAUAUGAGCCACGGCCUGACCUGAACUGUGGGGAAAAGAAAGAGAGAUCAGAUUGUUACUGUGUCUGUGUAGGAAGAAGUAGACAUAAGAGACUCCAUUUUGUUCUGUACUAAGAAAAAUUCUUUUGCCUUGAGACGCUGUUAAUCUGUAACCCUACCCCCAACCCUGUGCUCCCUAAGACAUGGGCUGUGUCAACUCAGGGUUAAAUGGAUUAAGGGCUGUUCAGGGUGUGCUUUGUUAAACAAAUGCUUGAAGGCAGCAUGCUUGUUAAGAGUCAUCACCACUCCCUAAUCUCAAGUACCCAGAGACACUACACUGCGGAAGACUGCAGGGACCUCUGCCUAGGAAAGCCAGGUAUUGUCCAAGGUUUCUCCCCAUGUGAUAGUCUGAAAUACAGCCUCAUGGGAAGGGAAAGACCUGACUGUCCCCCAGCCCGACACCCGUAAAGGGUCUGUGCUGAGGAGGAUUAGUAAAAGAGGAAGGAAGGCCUCUUUGCAGUUGAGAUAAGAGGAAGGCGUCUGUCUCCUGCUCAUCCCUGGGCAAUGGAAUGUCUCGGUGUAAAGCCCGAUUGUAUAUUCCAUCUACUGAGAUAGGAGAAAACCGCCUUAGGACUGGAGGUGGGACAUGCUGGCAGCAAUACUGCUCUUUAAGGCAUUGAGAUGUUUAUGUAUAUGCACAUCAAAAGCACAGCACUUUUUUCUUUACCUUGUUUAUGAUGCAGAGACAUUUGUUCACGUGUUUACCUGCUGAUCUUCUCUCCACUAUUAUCCUAUUGUCCUGCCACAUCCCCCUCUCCGGAAACGCCCGAUAAUGAUCAAUAAAUACUAAGGGAACUCAGAGGCCAGUGCCGGCAUGGGUCCUCCGGCAUGGGUCCUCCGUAUGCGUUCA